rnacentral:rRNA from 1 species
UACGGGGGAUGCAAGCGUUAUCCGGAAUGAUUGGGCGUAAAGCGUCUGUAGGUGGUUUAGUAAGUCUGCUGUUAAAUAUUAGGGCUUAACCCUGAGCAAGCAGUGGAAACUACUAGACUAGAGUAUGGUAUAGGUAGAGGGAAUUCCCAGUGUAGCGGUGAAAUGCGUAGAUAUUGGGAAGAACACCAGAAGCGAAAGCGCUCUACUGGGCCAUUACUGACACUCAGAGACGAAAGCUAGGGGAGCGAAUGGG